AUUGAACGCUGGCGGCAGGCCUAACACAUGCAAGUCGAACGGUAACAGGAAGCAGCUUGCUGCUUUGCUGACGAGUGGCGGACGGGUGAGUAAUGUCUGGGAAACUGCCCGAUGGAGGGGGAUAACUACUGGAAACGGUAGCUAAUACCGCAUAACGUCGCAAGACCAAAGAGGGGGACCUUAGGGCCUCUUGCCAUCGGAUGUGCCCAGAUGGGAUUAGCUAGUAGGUGGGGUAACGGCUCACCUAGGCGACGAUCCCUAGCUGGUCUGAGAGGAUGACCAGCAACACUGGAACUGAGACACGGUCCAGACCACUACGGGAGGCGGGAGGGGGGAAUUUUGAACAAGGGGCGCAAGCCUGAUCAAGCCGUGCCGGGUGUAGGAAGAAGGCCUUCGGGUUGUAAAUUUCUUCGAGGGGGGAGGAAGGGAGAAAAGUUAAUACCUUUGCUAUUUGACGUUCCCCGAAGAAGAAGCACCGGCAACCACCGGG
rnacentral:rRNA from 1 species